CGGGUUAAUGCCCUCUGGAUUGGGCGGUCAGCUGUUAACAGUUUUUUGUGGGAUCAAGGCCUACUAAUCCGU
rnacentral:tRNA from 1 species